rnacentral:rRNA from 1 species
GUAGGUGGCAAGCGUUGUCCGGAAUUAUUGGGCGUAAAGCGCGCGCAGGCGGGGUCCUUUAAGUCUGGAUGUGAAAGCCCACGGGCUCAACCGUGGAGGGUCAUUGGAAACUGGGGGACUUGAGUACAGAAGAGGAAAGCGGAAUUCCAAGUGUAGCGGUGAAAUGCGUAGAGAUUUGGAGGAACACCAGUGGCGAAGGCGGCUUUCUGGUCUGUAACUGACGCUGAGGCGCGAAAGCGUGGGGAGCAAACAGGAUUAGAUACCCUGGUAGUCCACGCCGUAAACGAUGAGUGCUAAGUGUUAGGGGGUUUCCGCCCCUUAGUGCUGCAGCUAACGCAUUAAGCACUCCGCCUGGGGAGUACGGCCGCAAAGGCUG